rnacentral:rRNA from 1 species
AUUGAACGCUGGCGGCAUGCCUUACACAUGCAAGUCGAACGGUAACAGGUCUUCGGAUGCUGACGAGUGGCGAACGGGUGAGUAAUACAUCGGAACGUGCCUAGUAGUGGGGGAUAACUACUCGAAAGAGUGGCUAAUACCGCAUGAGAUCUACGGAUGAAAGCAGGGGAUCGCAAGACCUUGUGCUACUAGAGCGGCCGAUGGCAGAUUAGGUAGUUGGUGGGAUAAAAGCUUACCAAGCCGACGAUCUGUAGCUGGUCUGAGAGGACGAUCAGCCCCAAUGGGACUGAGACACGGACCAAACUCCUACGGGGGGCAGCAGUGCGGAAUUUUGGACAAUGGGCGAAAGACUGAUCCAGCAAUGCCGCGUGCAGGAUGAAGGCCUUCGGGUUGUAAACUGCUUUUGUACGGAACGAAAAGCCCCGGGUUAAUACCCUGGGGUCAUGACGGUACCGUAAGAAUAAGCACCGGCUAACUACGUGCCAGCCGCCGCCGUAA